UCGCUUUCCUGAGCUUCUGUAGCAGAGACUAAAAUGGAAGAUUCUUUUCCUAAGUAAAACGUACUCUCCGUAUGCUUUUGACGUUGGAAGAGGAAAAGAUCAUCUUGUGGUGUCUAGCGACACCAUGUGGAUAAAAGGGAUGAAGCCUGCUUGAUCUUGGUGAAUGGGAUGUGGAGAGUUCUCAGUGAAAAACAUGUUUUCAUCCUGACCAUCAUCUGGAGACAGGGAUAGACAGGAUGUUUUACCAAGCCCACUUCCUUUUUUGUGUGUGAGGAUCACACAGACAAGUGAUCAAGGAACUGUUUGACUCUAUUGGCCAGUUUGGCACCUGAAUGGGGACUUGAGAUGCAAGGAAGCAGUGAAGGACACUGUGGUGUUGGCGAGCUCAGAUUAUAAACUAAAGAGAAAAGGUCAUGAGUGAAGAAGGGGUUGGGAUCCAGUGAAGCAGAAAAAAAUACCUCUCCCUGGAAGCAGGAGCCAGAGACAGAUUGAGAAGCCUCAAGCAUCUGAUCUGCAACAGACUCAACUCCCUGGAGGUCUUUUGGGGAGUCUCAUAAAUUGGGCAUAACAUUUGGUGCAUUGGCGGGGAACCCCAAGACACCCUGGACCCCUGAGCCAGAGGAUCAGA